UACAGAGGGUGCGAGCGUUGUCCGGAAUAACUGGGCGUAAAGGGCGCGUAGGCGGCCUGCUAAGUAGGGGGUGAAAUCUUACGGCUCAACCGCAAGGCUGCCUUCUAAACUGUCAGGCUGGAGCACGGUAGAGGCAGAUGGAAUUCCCGGUGUAGCGGUGGAAUGCGUAGAGAUCGGGAAGAACCCCAGUGGCGAAGGCGGUCUGCUGGGCCGUUGCUGACGCUGAGGCGCGACAGCGUGGGGAGCAAACAGG
rnacentral:rRNA from 1 species